UCUAAUUAUUUCAGGCUGUUAAAUCCGGUCUUCUCAAAAUUCUUUCCAAAAUGGGAAUCUCAUUGCUUUCUAGUUAUUGUGGUGCACAGAUAUUUGAGAUUUAUGGAUUAGGGAAGGAGAUUGUUGAUCUUUCAUUUUGUGGAAGUGUCU